rnacentral:lncRNA from 1 species
UGUUUCUUGAUUAAAGCUUUUAAGCACAAUCAAGAGUUGUUUGAAGUAUAACUUCGCCAUUGACUUUAAACUAAUUAAAGGUUGUAAUCACUGUGGUGAUUGAGGGGGAGUGAGUAGGUACUUCGCCAUUGACUUUAAACUAAUUAAAGGUUGUAAUCACUGUGGUGAUUGAGGGGGAGUGAGUAGGAACUCUGGUCUUAGUUUAGAUUGAAAUUGCAUUGGGUAGGUCUUAAGUGAUAGGAUUAAAGAGUUGGUUUAAG